rnacentral:rRNA from 1 species
UUUUUUCUAUCUCUUAUAGCAUUUAUAUCGCCGUCCAAAGAUAUAAGUUAAAUAUUGUGUCGAUAAAGAUUCCCUUUCACGUCAGGUCGAAAUAAAGCCAAUGUUAUAGCGAGCCGAGUUACAUAUUAUUAUAAUUAAGAUAUUUUAUUCUAAAGAAUGAAGACCCAGGAUUUGAUAGUAAUGUUUAGGUAGUUUCUAAAUGUGAAAACUUUAUCAAGGUGUACAUAUCGCCCGUCGCCCUCAUCUAAAGACGAGGUAAGUCGUAACACAGUUAAUAUACUGGAAAGUGUAUUAAGGG